CAGGUGGUUAGUUGAUUGCAGGUUGUUAAUGAGGUAAUUAUGAGUGGCUAAUGAGGGGAUUAUAGGUGGUUGGUUAGUUGAUACGGAUGGUUAAUGAGGUGAUUAUGGCUGGUUAAUGAGGUGAUUGUGGGUGGUUAGUUGAUGUGGUUGGUUAAUGAUGUGAUUAUGGCUGGUUAAUGAGGUGAUUAUGGGUGGUUAGUUGAUAUGGGUGGUUAAUGAAGUGACUGUGGGUAGUUAAUGAGGUGAUUACGGGUGGUUAAUGAGGUAAUUACGGAUGGUUAAUGAGAUGACUAUGGGUGGUUAAUGAGGUGACUGUGGGGAGUUAAUGAGGUGAUUACGGCUGGUUAACGAGGUGCCUAUGGG